UUAAAUCUUUCUUUAGUUGACCACCUACAAUGAGUAUUGUCAUUUAAGCAUAAAUUGAUCGAAAAAAAUAAUAGAAAAAACCAAUCUUGAGUUGUCAUUGACGCAAGUGUUCUUUUCUUUCUAAAAAAAUCAUGGUUAGCCUUAGGUUUAUGUAAAUAUUUCUAAAUUCAUGGUUAGCCUUAGGUUUAUGUAAGUAUUUCCAAAUGCACCGGUAUUUAGUUUUCAAUUAAUUUUUGAGUAUUAAAUGAUUAUGUAAAUUCUUCUAUCCGUUCAUUUGGUAUUAGAAACAUCUCAAAAUUUCCAUUAGUUCGGUGGAACUUUGCAUUAUGAAUGUAGAUAUUUUACAAUAUUUCCUUGCUUCUUAGGACGUUUUUCUUUUGUAAAUCUUGUAAAUUAGAGUUCAAAAUUGUAUUAGUGGUAUUAUUUUUUGAGAAAAAGGGUAUCAAAUUCAACCAAAACGGACUACUAGAAGGCCUCAAAUGGAAUGUUUUUCGACACCACAUGAAAACCGUGAUGAGAAAGAAACAAAAGAAAAAGAUAUGGCAGCCCAUAUGGAGGUUCAAGAAGGCCUGACGUUAGCAUGACAUCAGCAAACGCUGGGCGUGGCUGACGGCUUAGAGAGGCGUGACAUGACUCGACGACUCGGCUUCAGGUGGUUUGCACGUGGUCGACUCCAUUUUAAGGUGGUCGGCUUUGAUUUGGUGCGCUUUAGCUUCUGGCUUGCGGUUCGGGUUCGAUUCCUCACUAGGUAACUAUAAACUCAUGUUCACUUGGAAUUGUCCUCAGAUGUGGAUAUAGGUGAGGUAAACUCGUUAUCGUUGGUCCAAUAGAUCUUCCAUUUUAGGACUAAGAUCAGGUGGAUAGCUAGAGACAUAGGGUGCAAGAUGGAAUUCGCUUCUAAGGAUCGUAGAGAAGUUCCGUUAAGUGCUGAGAAGGUGAGGUCAACUCGUUAUUGUUGGCUCUACUCUCUCGUUGACUUGAGAGGGACUUAGUUUAAUGGAUGAACCAUGAACCAAUAUUUCAUUAGAGAAUCAGUUGAGGCUUAAGGAACACGAUGUAAUUUCGAAGGUAAAACAAUAUUUUGACCUAGAUAUAGUGGACAGUUCCGUUAGUUAACGAAUCUUGAUUAACUAGGUUAAAAAAGUUUAGUGGGUUAAUAUGAGAUUUUUUGAGCACAUGCUAUGUUGGUCUAUUAGGUAUUCCUACUAGCUCAUAAUGAAUUAAAAUUAAAAAAUAUUGUGAUCAAAAAAUGGAAUUGUUGAAAUUGACAUUGA